GCAAGCUGGCCUAAUCUCAGGACCUACAACACAAAAAUGACAGUUUUGGAUAAGGCCAAAGGUUUUUCUGAAUUAACCCAGUGUUCUGUUUCUGUCAGCAGACAGCAUGCAUCUGGGAAGGGCUUGAUGCCAGCACCUGGGAGCUCUCUCCAGUACUGAAGUCAUCUUUACUAGAUCAUUGCAUAGCAAUAUAAGGGGCUGAGGAAUUGAUGAAGCAACUCUUUGAAAAGGUGAUGCUUGUUUUUUCUAACCUCGCUGCAGAAGAUGAAACAUCACAGCUUCCACUGAAUUUCAUUCCUUUUUUAUUCAUUUAUUUUUAAAUCAAUGCCACCGUUUUACAACCGAGAAAGAUAAAAGUAACCAUAAGGUG